UACGUAGGGUGCGAGCGUUGUCCGGAAUUAUUGGGCGUAAAGAGCUCGUAGGCGGUGUGUCGCGUCGGCCGUGAAAACCUACAGCUUAACUGUGGGCUUGCUUUCGAUACGGGCAGACUUGAGGCAUGUCAGGGGAGACUGGAAUUCCUGGUGUAGCGGUGAAAUGCGCAGAUAUCAGGAGGAACACCAGUGGCGAAGGCGGUCUCUGG
rnacentral:rRNA from 1 species